AGGAGUGUGUAACAACUCACCUGCCGAAUGAAGUAGCCCUGAAAAUGGAUGACGCUUAAGCGGGUAGCCGAUACUACGCCGUCUAGAAAAGUGUUUUUUUAGAUGAGUAGGGGGGCGUGGUGAUCGUAUCGAAGCGCUGCGUGCAAACGCGUGUGGAACGGUCACUAGUGCAGAUCUUGGUGGUAGUAGCAAAUAUUCAAGUGAGAACCUUGAAGGGCGAAGCGGGGAAGGGUUCCAUGCGAACAUUGAUUGGGCAUGGGUGAGUCGUACCUAAGCCGAGUGGCAAUUGCUUACUCACGCGGCGAAAGGGAAGCGGGUUGAAAUUCCCGCACACGGAUGUGGAAGCGGCGACGCAUUACUGGGGCGGUGACGUUGGCAGUGGCGCUGGGCAGAGUUGUCUUUUCUGUUUAACCGCCUGACGCUUGCUCUGUGGAAUCCGCUUGUCGGGAGAAACAGGCAAGGCACGGGUAGAGCGCCGGGCUUUUUCCGGCGUCCAGCUCGCCACUGACGGCCCUUGAAAAACUGUCCUCAGAUACUAAAACUCCACGCCGUGGCGUACCGAUAACCGCAUCAGGUCCCCAAGGUGAACAGCCUCUGCUCGAUAUGAAAAAUGCAGGUAAG
rnacentral:rRNA from 1 species